UUGGCAUACUUCAAGCAGAUCCUGGCUCCUGGGUCUCUGACCCCCCCCUCCUCCCUUGCACAGGGAGAUGUUCAGAUCAAGGAAUGCAAGUUUUUCUCUAACAAAUCAAUGUCCUUGAAACAUCUAACGUCUUUUGGGCACAGUCAGGGGACCUUUUCCUGUGAGAGGCAAAAAAAGAUCACAAAAUUGUGAUUAAACUCGAUUUCUUUUUUGGCUUUAAAUUAACCUGACAGCCGGAGGAUUUUGAUAUUACCCAAGGAAAACUAUAUGGUAAUAUUGACAUUUCUCAUUCCCUAGGUACUAAACCUUCAAAAAUGCAGAGCCACAGCUGUGCAAUUCAAGAUGAGCUGCAGCGUCUUUUCCUGCCACUGUUAACUCAGAUCAUGGCUGUUGGGAGUGGAGAUCGUCGUUAAGAGAAAAGGUAAAGCCUCCAUGAGGGAAAUAAAGGUAAAAAAAAAAAAAAAAAAAGCCUUUAAGCAGUGCUUGAAACCAAACAAGUAGUGCCGACAGCUUACGAAUCCUGCUGGUUGCUUCCUGUGUUUAGAAAGGGGCAACACAAAAGCGGUGGGAGAACAGGGUCCCCAUGAUCUUCUGCACCAGAGAGGGGAGGCCAGCUUGCUUCCAGAGAUGGGCCAUCAACCGGUUUUCCCAGGUUCACCGAGGGGAGUCAGUGAAGUGCAUCGCUCCAUCCGUGACACCGCUCUGCCUUGACAAAGGACCAACAUUCCUGAGAGCUUCCCAGAGCUGA
rnacentral:lncRNA from 1 species